rnacentral:rRNA from 1 species
AGAGUUUGAUCCUGGCUCAGGAUGAACGCUGGCGGCGUGCCUAAUACAUGCAAGUCGAACGCGAGCACUUGUGCUCGAGUGGCGAACGGGUGAGUAAUACAUAAGUAACCUGCCCUAGACAGGGGGAUAACUAUUGGAAACGAUAGCUAAGACCGCAUAGGUACGGAGACCGCAUGGUAACCGUAUUAAAAGUGCCUCAAAGCACUGGUAGAGGAUGGACUUAUGGCGCAUUAGCUAGUUGGUGAGGUAACGGCCACCAAGGCGACGAUGCGUAGCCGA